GUCUACAUUCCAAUCCCACUACUUUAACAACAACAACAAUUGCACCCACAACAACGACACCUACCACAGGUGGAACGACAACAGUUGAAGAAACCACAAAUGAGACAAGUCCAUCUACAAAACACCUAAAGAGUCACCCGGGCCCAAACAACCCCACACUGUAAUUGUUGAAACCUCUACUUCAACAUCACA
rnacentral:lncRNA from 1 species